rnacentral:rRNA from 1 species
GACGAAUGCUGGCUGCGUGCUUAACACAUGCAAGUCGAACGGUGAAGGAGGGCUUGCCCUCCGGAUCAGUGGCGAACGGGUGAGUAACACGUGGGCAACCUGCCCCUCACUCUGGGAUAACGCCGGGAAACCGGCGCUAAUACCGGAUACGACCAGGCGCGACAUCUCGCCUGGUGGAAAGAAUUUCGGUGAGGGAUGGGCCCGCGGCCUAUCAGCUUGUUGGUGGGGUAACGGCCCACCAAGGCGACGACGGGUAGCCGGCCUGAGAGGGCGACCGGCCACACUGGGACUGAGACACGGCCCAGACUCCUACGGGAGGCAGCAGUGGGGAAUAUUGCGCAAUGGGCGAAAGCCUGACGCAGCGACGCAGCGUGAGGGACGAAGGCCUUCGGGUUGUAAACCUCUUUCAGCGGGGACGAAGCGAAAGUGACGGUACCCGCAGAAGAAGCACCGGCUAACUACGUGCCAGCAGCCGCGGUAACAC